AUCCGGUUGACGAGUCCCAAAUAGGAUGAAACGCGCGUCCUGAAU
rnacentral:hammerhead_ribozyme from 1 species